rnacentral:snRNA from 1 species
GGAUGUGAGGGUGACCUGGCUGCAACAUCUGUCAGCCCACUGAUCACCAGGGUUGAUUUGGCUGAUCCUGCUGGCUAGGCUAGUGACCCCUUCUUCCCUCACCACUCCAUGUGCGUCCCUCCCAAGGCUGUGCCCUCCGUUGAAGAGGAUGGCCUUCCCCGAACAGAGAUGGACCAGUUUUGGGUCAAGGGUAUACAAGUAGCUGUGCUCCCCUGCUAAAACCUCCAAACAAGCUCUAAGUAUUUAUCAAUAGUUGGUGAUUAAACUCUCCCUUGAAUUCCUACAGUAGCACUUCUUAACAAGGAUGACAUUUUGU